UACGGAGGAUGCGAGCGUUAUCCGGAUUUAUUAGGUUUAAAGGGUGCGUAGGCUGUAUAGUAAGUCAGUGGUGAAAUACCUGGGCUCAACCGAGGGGCUGCCAUUGAUACUGCUGUACUAGAGUUCAGUUGAGGUAGGCGGAAUGUGUAAUGUAGCGGUGAAAUGCUUAGAUAUUACACAGAACACCGAUUGCGAAGGCAGCUUACUAAGCUGAUACUGACGCUGAAGCACGAAAGCGUGGGGAUCGAACAGG
rnacentral:rRNA from 1 species